AGUUUUUAGAUCUACUGAACAUCGUAUCCAAAUCUUUGGACUCCUCAAUGGCUACCAUCACAUGGUAAAAUUUUGAGUUGAGAGAACGAAAGAUUUUCUCAACAACACGAACAUCUUCUAAUUUUUCUCCAAGCCUUUUCAUUUGGUGCACUACCGCCAAAACUUUGGUGAAAUAAUCCGAAAUGGAUUUAGUCUCCUUCAUCAUUAGAGACUCAAACUCAGCCCUUAGAGUUUGAAGACGAACCUUC